rnacentral:rRNA from 1 species
UACGUAGGGUGCGAGCGUUGUCCGGAAUUAUUGGGCGUAAAGAGCUCGUGGGCGGUCUGUCGCGUCGAUCGUGAAAACUUGGGGCUUAACCCUGAGCUUGCGGUCGAUACGGGCAUGACUGGAGUUCGGCAGGGGAGACUGGAAUUCCUGGUGUAGCGGUGAAAUGCGCAGAUAUCAGGAGGAACACCGGUGGCGAAGGCGGGUCUCUGGGCCGAUACUGACGCUGAGGAGCGAAAGCGUGGGGAGCGAACAGG